AACAAAGCAAAAAAUUGCAAUUUUGGCUAAGAAAUGGAAGAUAACAAGCUUAACCGAUCCUCCACCUCCUCCUUUCCCCACCUUCAUCUUCGGUGUCAUUCGUUGCAUCUCUCCUUGCUUCUCUCGAUUCAGUAUUACCCAAAUUGUUUCUUUUUUCAACAAUUAAACCUUCAACGAACGUGCCCACACACGACCGGACCUCAUUACCUGACCGCCGCCAUGGCUUCAGCACCACCCGCCACCGCUGCCGUCGUCGUGGAUCACCCCAACCAUGACCUACGUCCUGUACAAGUCAAAACAUCCUCCCCACGCUUCCCUCCACCCGCCGGGACCCCAACAUCCAGUACCGCCUCAUCUCCCUUCCACCGUCGCAUUGGCAUCGCCGUGGACCUCAGUGAAGAGAGCGCAUACGCAGUGAAAUGGGCCGUCGACAAUUACCUCCGCCUUGGUGACGCUGUAAUCCUCCUCCAUGUCCUCUCUACCUCCGUCCUCUAUGGCGCGGACUGGGGCCCCUCCACCCCCACCACCCCCACCUCUGAAAACUCCUUCUCCGUAACACCACCGGAACGAACGGAAGAAGAAUAUGAUAACUUCACGGCGGCACAAGCAAACAUCUUGGCACAGCCGUUGGUGGAUGCCCACAUGCCGGUCAAGAUUCAUAUUGUGAAGGAUCAUGAUAUGAAGGAACGGCUUUGCUUGGAGGUUGAGAGGCUGGGAUUGAGCGCGGUUAUAAUGGGGAGUAGAGGGAUUGGGGCCUCGAGGAGGAGCAGCAAUGGCAAGCUUGGGAGUAUGAGUGAUUAUUGCGUGCAGCAUUGCGCCUGUCCAGUGGUGGUGGUGAGGUAUAAUAAGGAGGAGAAGGCGGCGGGCAAGAAGGAAAAACGCGAGUAUCAUGGUGCUGCUAAUAUGAAAAAGUAAAAGGUAAUCAGUUUGUGCUAGUAAGUAGCAUGUAACUCUCUUAACUGGCGUUGAAAAGAGUGAGUUCCUGCAUUGCUAACACAUCCCUUGACUAAAGCUAGAGUGCCAGUGAAGCCAAUAGUUGCAGAUAGAACCAAAGAGAAUAUUUUGUUUCUUCUUUUCUUUUUCUUUUUCCUGAAAUGUGUUUUGGGGUAGAUCUUGAGGCAGCCAUUUUUGUCUUACUUUCUUCUUUUAUAUAUAUAUAUAUAUCUGAGAAACUUGUUGCUGCUUGGAUA